UUGCCCUAGUAACGGCGAGUGAAGCGGCAACAGCUCAAAUUUGAAAUCUGGCUUCGGCCCGAGUUGUAAUUUGUAGAGGAAGCUUUAGGCGCGGCACCUUCUGAGUCCCCUGGAACGGGGCGCCAUAGAGGGUGAGAGCCCCGUAUAGUUGGAUGCCUAGCCUGUGUAAAGCUCCUUCGACGAGUCGAGUAGUUUGGGAAUGCUGCUCAAAAUGGGAGGUAAAUUUCUUCUAAAGCUAAAUACCGGCCAGAGACCGAUAGCGCACAAGUAGAGUGAUCGAAAGAUGAAAAGCACUUUGAAAAGAGGGUUAAAUAGCACGUGAAAUUGUUGAAAGGGAAGCGCUUGUGACCAGACUUGCGCCGGGCUGAUCAUCCGGUGUUCUCACCGGUGCACUCUGCCCGGCUCAGGCCAGCAUCGGUUCUCGCGGGGGGAUAAAGGCCCAGGGAAUGUAGCUCCUCCGGGAGUGUUAUAGCCCGGGGCGCAAUGCCCUCGCGGGGACCGAGGUUCGCGCUCUGCAAGGAUGCUGGCGUAAUGGUCAUCAGCGACCCGUCUUGAAACACGGACCAAGGAGUCAAGGUUUUGCGCGAGUGUUUGGGUGUAAAACCCGCACGCGUAAUGAAAGUGAACGUAGGUGAGAGCUUCGGCGCAUCAUCGACCGAUCCUGAUGUUUUCGGAUGGAUUUGAGUAAGAGCGUUAAGCCUUGGACCCGAAAGAUGGUGAACUAUGCUUGGAUAGGGUGAAGCCAGAGGAAACUCUGGUGGAGGCUCGCAGCGGUUCUGACGUGCAAAUCGAUCGUCAAAUCUGAGCAUGGGGCGAAAGACUAAUCGA
rnacentral:rRNA from 1 species